AUUCUGCCCAUGCGGGGAAGGAUGAGAAGCUUCGACCAAGGUUCGACUCGAGCGCCAGCGAGAGAGCGUUGCCGCAGGCAA
rnacentral:sRNA from 1 species